CUGCUGCCAGGAUCUGGGUGGUCAUGGCCACCCAGGUGACCACGCCGCUGUACUGCAGGCUUAUAAAAGAAGUAGAACACACAUGCUUCCCAUUAGGUGAGAAAGAAACAUGCCUGAGAGUCUAAUGGAUUACUCAAGUCUGUGCUGCCAAGGAAGAACAGAAUCUUUAGGUAUCAUGUGUUUUACAAAUUGAAGUUUGUGGAAACCCUGC
rnacentral:lncRNA from 10 species